CACCAUCUUGGAAUCUGGAACCGGGGACUCUGUCGGUACCGGGACGGGUCUGCGCGGCGCAGCGAGGACGCGGGGUGUCUGGACUCCGCCAUGCCCUGGCAGCCUUCAUCUGGAUGGAGAUAACACGGAAAGAUGCCCAGGUUGAUGGAUGGCCAUGAUGUAGACUUGCGUUUUCCUGGGAAAUCCUCAGGACAUAGUACUUCCAGAAAGUCCGAGGGAGGGAAGAACUCCGUUCCCUGGAAGCUGGAAAUGGAUCUUGGGUAGCCCAGGUUGGCCUGAAACACGUGAUAGAGCUUCCUGAAUGUCAGCACUAGACCCACCACUCUGGCCUGGAGACAAGAAAGACUUCACUCUUUGACCAGACUGGGCCUGAUCCCAGUCCUGCUUGGAGCAGG
rnacentral:lncRNA from 1 species